UACGUAGGGUGCAAGCGUUGUCCGGAAUUAUUGGGCGUAAAGAGCUCGUAGGCGGUCUGUCGCGUCGGCUGUGAAAACCCGGGGCUCAACCCCGAACUUGCAGUGGGUACGGGCAGACUAGAGUGUGGUAGGGGAGACUGGAAUUCCUGGUGUAGCGGUGAAAUGCGCAGAUAUCAGGAGGAACACCGAUGGCGAAGGCAGGUCUCUGGGCCACUACUGACGCUGAGAAGCGAAAGCAUGGGGAGCGAACAGG
rnacentral:rRNA from 1 species